rnacentral:rRNA from 1 species
AGGACGAACGCUGGCGGCGUGCUUAACACAUGCAAGUCGAGCGGAAAGGCCCUUCGGGGUACUCGAGCGGCGAACGGGUGAGUAACACGUGAGCAACCUGCCCUUAGCUCUGGGAUAGCUCCGGGAAACCGGAAUUAAUACCGGAUAUUACACCGGCUGGCAUCGGCUGGUGUGGAAAGAUUUUAUCGGCUAAGGAUGGACUCGCGGCCUAUCAGCUUGUUGGUGGGGUAGAAGCCUACCAAGGCGACGACGGGUA